rnacentral:rRNA from 1 species
UACGUAGGGUGCGAGCGUUUGUCCGGAAUUAUUGGGCGUAAAGAGCUUGUAGGCGGUCUGUCGCGUCUGCUGUGAAAAUCCGGGGCUCAACCCCGGACUUGCAGUGGGUACGGGCAGACUAGAGUGUGGUAGGGGGAGACUGGAAUUCCUGGUGUAGCGGUGAAAUGCGCAGAUAUCAGGAGGAACACCGAUGGCGAAGGCAGGUCUCUGGGCCACUACUGACGCUG